rnacentral:misc_RNA from 1 species
UCCGGCUUAUCACCGGCAGUCCCCUUAGAGUUCCCAACUGAAUGAUGGCAACUAAGGGCAAGGGUUGCGCUCGUUGCGGGACUUAACCCAACAUCUCACGACACGAGCUGACGACAGCCAUGCAGCACCUGUGCACAGACCCCGAAGGGAGAGCGUGUUUCCACGCCUGUCCUGUGCAUGUCAAGCCCCGGUAAGGUUCUUCGCGUUGCGUCGAAUUAAACCACAUACUCCACCGCUUGUGCGGGCCCCCGUCAAUUCCUUUGAGUUUCAACCUUGCGGUCGUACUCCCCAGGCGGGAUACUUAAUGCGUUAGCUGCGGCACAGAAGGGGUCGAUGCCUCCUACACCUAGUAUCCAACGUUUAGGGCCAGGACUA